rnacentral:lncRNA from 1 species
CCUUGGCGUCACCUACGAGUUGGGUACGUCAGAAAAAACAAAAUUAAACAAGGUUGAAAGGCCUUGGCGUUACCUGUAAAUCUUACGAGUUGGGUACGUCAGAAAAAGAUACGGCAAAGAAAAGGGCGAGAUUAUCAACACCGCCAGAAGAAGUUUGUACACAACCAAAGCGGGCAAUUCAUUAUAACGCCAAAAAGUCAACAGGUAUAA